rnacentral:rRNA from 1 species
AGUGAACGCUGGCGGUAGGCCUAACACAUGCAAGUCGAACGGCAGCACAGUAAGAGCUUGCUCUUACGGGUGGCGAGUGGCGGACGGGUGAGGAAUACAUCGGAAUCUACUUUUUCGUGGGGGCUAACGUAGGGAAACUUACGCUAAUACCGCAUACGACCUACGGGUGAAAGCAGGGGAUCUUCGGACCUUGCGCGAUUGAAUGAGCCGAUGUCGGAUUAGCUAGUUGGCGGGGUAAAGGCCCACCAAGGCGACGAUCCGUAGCUGGUCUGAGAGGAUGAACAGCCACACUGGAACUGAGACACGGUCCAGACUCCUACGGGAGGCAGCAGUGGGGAAUAUUGGACAAUGGGCGCAAGCCUGAUCCAGCCAUACCGCGUGGGUGAAGAAGGCCUUCGGGUUGGAAAGCCCUUUUGUUGGGAAAGAAAAGCAGCAGGUUAAUACCCCGCUGUUCUGACGGUACCCAAAGAAUAAGCACCGGCUAACUUCGUG